GUAGGUGAACCUGCGGAAGGAUCAUUCGA
rnacentral:rRNA from 1 species